rnacentral:rRNA from 1 species
AUUGAACGCUGGCGGCAGGCCUAACACAUGCAAGUCGAGCGGAUGAAGGGAGCUUGCUCCUGGAUUCAGCGGCGGACGGGUGAGUAAUGCCUAGGAAUCUGCCUGGUAGUGGGGGAUAACGUCCGGAAACGGGCGCUAAUACCGCAUACGUCCUGAGGGAGAAAGUGGGGGAUCUUCGGACCUCACGCUAUCAGAUGAGCCUAGGUCGGAUUAGCUAGUUGGUGGGGUAAAGGCCUACCAAGGCGACGAUCCGUAACUGGUCUGAGAGGAUGAUCAGUCACAUGGGAAGUGAAACGGGCUCAAGCCGCCUGCGGGAGGGCGCAGGGGGGAAUGUGGGACAGUGGGGGCAAGCCUGAUCCAACGGGGCGGAGUGUGAAAGAAAGUUCUUGGGUUUGGAAAGACGUUUAGUUGGGGGGAAAGGGCAGUAGGUUAUUACGUUGCUUUUUUGACGUUAACAAAAAAAAAAGCACCGGCUAACUUCGUG